rnacentral:SRP_RNA from 1 species
GCCGGGCGCGGGUGGCACGUGCCUGUUAGUCCCAGCUACUUGGGAGGCUGAGGUAGGAGGAUGCUUGAGCCCAGGAGUUAUGGGCUGUAGUGAGCUAUGCUGAUCGGGUGUCUGCACUAAGUUCGGCAUCAAUAUGGCGACCUCCUGGGGGCGGGGGACCACCAGGUUGCCCCUGGAGGGGUGAACCGGCCCCAGGUCGGAAAAGGAGCAGGUCAAAACUCCCAUGCUGAUCAGUAGUGAAAUCACGCCUGUGAAUAGCCACUGCACUCGACUUGGGCAACACAGCGCGACCCCGUCUCUU